rnacentral:rRNA from 1 species
UACGGGGGGGGGCAAGCGUUGUUCGGAAUUACUGGGCGUAAAGGGCUCGUAGGUGGCCAACUAAGUCGGACGUGAAAUCCCCAGGCUCAACUUGGGAACUGCGUCCGAUACUGGAUGGCUUGAAUUCGGGAGAGGGAUGCAGAAUUCCAGGUGUAGCGGUGAAAUGCGUAGAUAUCUGGAGGAAUACCGGUGGCGAAGGCGGCAUCCUGGACCGAGAUUGACACUGAAAAGCGAAAGCCAGGGGAGCAAACGGG